AAUUCCAGGUGUAGCGGUGAAAUGCGUAGAGAUCUGGAGGAAUACCGGUGGCGAAGGCGGCCCCCUGGACGAAGACUGACGCUCAGGUGCGAAAGCGUGGGGAGCAAACAGGAUUAGAUACCCUGGUAGUCCACGCCGUAAACGAUGUCGACUUGGAGGUUGUGCCCUUGAGGCGUGGCUUCCGGAGCUAACGCGUUAAGUCGACCGCCUGGGGAGUACGGCCGCAAGGUUAAAACUCAAAUGAAUUGACGGGGGCCCGCACAAGCGGUGGAGCAUGUGGUUUAAUUCGAUGCAACGCGAAGAACCUUACCUGGUCUUGACAUCCACGGAAGUUUUCAGAGAUGAAAAUGUGCCUUCGGGAACCGUGAGACAGGUGCUGCAUGGCUGUCGUCAGCUCGUGUUGUGAAAUGUUGGGUUAAGUCCCGCAACGAGCGCAACCCUUAUCCUUUGUUGCCAGCGGUCCGGCCGGGAACUCAAAGGAGACUGCCAGUGAUAAACUGGAGGAAGGUGGGGAUGACGUCAAAGUCAUCAUGGCCCUUACGACCAGGGCUACACACGUGCUACAAUGGCGCAUACA
rnacentral:rRNA from 1 species